GUAGUCCACGCCGUAAACGAUGAGUGCUAGGUGUUAGGGGGUUUCCGCCCCUUAGUGCUGAAGUUAACGCAUUAAGCACUCCGCCUGGGGAGUACGGCCGCAAGGCUGAAACUCAAAAGAAUUGACGGGGGCCCGCACAAGCGGUGGAGCAUGUGGUUUAAUUCGAAGCAACGCGAAGAACCUUACCAGGUCUUGACAUCCUCUGACAGCGAUAGAGAUAUCGUGUUCCCUUCGGGGACAGAGUGACAGGUGGUGCAUGGUUGUCGUCAGCUCGUGUCGUGAGAUGUUGGGUUAAGUCCCGCAACGAGCGCAACCCUUGAUCUUAGUUGCCAGCAUUCAGUUGGGCACUC
rnacentral:rRNA from 1 species